GAAAUACCACUACUGUCCGCGUUUCAGACAUGUUGGGGAGCUCCCCACAGCCGGCACCUUGGUGCCCCGAGCAGCACCGGUACCCUGGUAGCUCGAAUGUGCGGGAGCCUCGAGCACCAUCCGUACCUAGGCGGUCAAAUGUGCCGGAGCCUCGAGCACCAUCUGCACCUAAGAGGUCAGAUGUGCCGGAGCCUCGAGCACCAUCCGCACCUUGGUGCCUCGGAUGUGUGGGAGCCACGAGCACCAUCGGCAACUUUGGCCCCUGUUGGUGCGGAAGCGUUGGGCUAAAAAAAGUGUCCCUGUUUCAGACAUAUGGAACCUAAAAAAAAUGACCCUGUUUCAGACACAUGUGUGUCGCCUGGUAGCCCAUUGACCAAGUUUUUUUAGCUCUUUAGGGGGGAAGUGAUAGUGAGCGAGCAGGGGUUAUCCAGGGCAUUGCCCUUGCCCAUCGCAUGCCUGGAAGUCGGUGCCUCCCCCUACCGGUUAGGUUCCCGGUGGUGCUCCGGCGAUCCUUCCUGACGAGGCAUCCUAGAAUAUACGAAAAGGAUGAACCAAGUCCCUCCCCAAUACCAAAGCUAGAAUUUGAAUAUCGUUACAUGGUCGGUACCCAAUAAUAUGAAUGAACCGUCCCGGUCCUUCGUCUCUACUACCGGCGAUGCACUCUUGGCCUUAAUUGGCCGGGUCGUUCCUCCGGCAUUGUUACUUUGAAGAAAUUAGAGUGCUCAAAGUAGGCCUACGCUUGUAUACAUUAGCAUGGGAUAACAAUAUAGGAUUUCAAUCCUACUGUGUUGGCCUUCGGGAUCGGAGUAAUGAUUAACAAGUACAGUCGGGGGCAUUCGUAUUUCAUAGUCAGAGGUGAAAUUCUUGGAUUUAUGAAAGACGAACAACUGCGAAAGCAUUUGCCAAGGAUGUUUUCAUUAAUCAAGAAAGAAAGUUGGGGGCUCGAAGAUGAUCAGAUACCGUCCUAGCCUCAACCAUAAAUGAUGCCGACCUGGGAUCGGCAGAUGUUGCUUUUAGGACUCCGCCGGCACCGUAUGAGAAAUCAAAGUCUUUCGGUUCCGGGGGGAGUAUGGUCGCAAGGCUGAAACUUAGAGGAAUUGACGGAAGGGCACCACCAGGAGUGGAGCCUGCGGCUUAAUUUGAUUCAACACGGGGAAACUUACCAGGUCCAGACAUAGUAAGGAUUGAUAGACUGAGAGCUCUUUCUUGAUUCUAUGGGUGGUGGUGCAUGGUCGUUCUUAGUUGGUGGAGCGAUUUGUCUGGUUAAUUCUUUUAACGAACGAGACCUCAGCCUGCUAAUUAGCUACACGGAGGUGAUCCUCCGUGGCUAGCUUCUUAGAGGGACUAUGACCAUUUAGGCCAAGGAAGUUUGAGGCAAUAACAGGUCUGUGAUGCCCAUAGAUGUUCUGUGCCGCACGCGCGCUACACUGAUGUAUUCAACGAGUCUAUAGCCUUGGCCGACAGGCCCGGGUAAUCUUUGAAAUUUCAUCGUGAAGGGGAUAGAUCAUUGCAAUUGUUGGUCUUCAACGAGGAAUUCCUAGUAAGCGCUAGUCAUCAGCUCGCGUUGACUACGUCCCUGCCCUUUGUACACACCGCCCGUCGCUCCUNGUAUUUCAUAGUCAGAGGUGAAAUUCUUGGAUUUAUGAAAGACGAACAACUGCGAAAGCAUUUGCCAAGGAUGUUUUCAUUAAUCAAGAACGAAAGUUGGGGGCUCGAA
rnacentral:rRNA from 1 species